AUUUUCUUUCUAAGCAAUUUUAGGCACUCACACAUCUGCCUUGUUACAUUUGCUUUCUGCCUAGAAGGAUGGCUGCCCGUGGCGCAGUGACUGUGGGCUGGUUCCAAAUAGUGAAUUCAGAAGGUUCCUGCGAGGAUGAUGAGAAGCGUCUGGCAGGAGUCAUCACUCCUGCAAGAUUCUGCGAUGCCCAAGGCCAGCCCCCAAAGAGGGACAGCCGGGCCUGGAGAUACCAGCUCCACUACAGACCCUCAGGCACGAGCACGUCCUGCUGGCGCCUUGACAGUCCACUGCCCAGACCCAGAGGGGUCUGCACACACGCGACCAGAUGGAAACUUCCAGUUUCAGCCACAACCUCCCAAGGGAGCACUUGGGAGAACCCCAGGCAUACACCGCUUGGGUACUUUUGUGCCUGUCAUCAUUGAGCCCAGAGAACAGGGGCUGUCACAGACCUGAUCACAUGGGGACGGUCACGCCUGCCGUUCAGGCUGUGCCCAUGGACUAGCAGGAGAGAGAGUGCUAAGGGGACACACCCGUACACACUGAGUUGCCCAGCAACACGGGAUGUCAGGCCCAGGGACACACACCCUCGCUGGCAUGACCCACUCAGACUGUUUCCACAGAGGCGGACUCGCACAGAGCAGCUGCCCCAGGCGACUCUCUGGCCCUGCUGGGAAAAGCCUUCGUUCAGAGCCAGCUGUGCCAAUAAAGAUCCUGGGCAUCCACACCCCAGAAUGAUGACCAGUUAGACAGGGCCGAGGCGAGCCCCCCAAACUGCCAGUCACUCCUCGGUGACACACAAACACUCCUCUGAGUGGCCAGUCUAGACUCCUCACCUCCUUUUGUUCCCUCUCGGAAAACCUUUGGCUUUUCCAUUUUAAUCAGCCAGUGACCACACAAUCUAUUUCUGUAACUUCUCGGCAUUCGCCAGAUUGUUCUUUUGAAAUGUCUACAGUAAGUUACAAAGAAUGCCUCUGACCUUUGUUUUCAAAUUCGUCGACGCAAACAGUCAACACACAAUGUGAAACUUAGAGGACGAUUUUCAAUUUUCACAGACAAACCGGGCUUGAGUUUCUUUCAACUUUUGGAUGGAGAAGAAAGGCAGCUUUUCAGUGAUUCUUAAAAUUCCGACUCGGUAAACAGGAAAAGAGCAACAACUCUGCCGUCUUUGAAAGUGCAGCGUGAACGCCAGGAGCAAGACCCCUCUGAGCAGCACCUCUCACGGCUUAGGGACGGGUAAACUGAGGACUCAACCUCGGAAUGGUUUCCCACUCGGACCCUAUCUGUGAUUAGGCCAAACUUCCGGCAUGGUGUUUAGACUGCUGUCUAUUGCACAGCUGUGCCUCACUGGGGUCCAAGGACAGCCCCCUUGGGUGGGUUCUGUCCCCUUCUCAGAUGGUUCAGGCUCCGUGUUGGUUUCCGGAUGAGAUAAUCUGGUCCCCUGGCCGUGGCAGGCCUCUCUUUCGUCCCGUCACCACACAGGACCAACUUGGAGUCAUCCUCCCACCUACACGCUGCGUGUGGCCAGGCGCCCCCUGCCAUGCAGGUCCUCCCUCCCUGCCUGUCCCUUCCCACCCUCUGACAGGAAUUCCAGUGUGAAUGUGGAAUGGCCACCUUUAGCGAACUGGAACCUGGACUACACAGCCCGUCUCCAGAGAUUGUCACCCCCGCCCCCUAAAUUCCUUUGUACUCUUUUCUUUAAAGAUUGGCAUCUGAGCUAACAACCGUUGCCAAUCUUCUUUUUUUUUUUUUUUUCUGCUUUAUCUCCCCAACACCCCCUGUACAUAGUUGUAAAUCUUAGUUGCAGGUCCUUCUAGUUGUGGGAUGUGGGACGCCGCUUCAACGUGGCCUGAAGAGCGGUGCCAUGUCCGCGCCCGGGAUCCGAACCCUGGGCCACCGCAGCGGAGCACGCAAACUUAACCACUGGGCCACCGAGCCGGCCCCCCUUUCUAUUCUUACUGUUUGUACCUCAGAACCUCACUCAAGACAGAAAUAAGCCAAAAAAACCUACUGGAUUUCAUUUUUUUAAUAAAAAAUUUCUGUAUGUCAAAAACCACAAACAAAUUUAAAGACAAACUUGGAAAAUAAAUUUUCCAGACAAAGGUGGCAACAGAGGCAAAUAUCCUUAAUGUACAAAGAGCUUGUAAAGUAUAGGGCACCAAAGAGAGAGAUGGAGGAUGUCAGCAGGUAGAUUAAUCAAAAUAAUGACCAAAUGGUUAAUAAGAGAAGAAAAUCCUCAACCUCCUUAAUACUCAAAGCAAAGCAAAAAUAAAACCAUUUGAGAUAACAUUUCACCUUAUUACCUAACAGACCAGCAAAUGAAUACCCACUGCUGGGCACAGGCCUUCUUGCGAAUUACUUCUAGGAAUGCACAAUAACUGGAAAAGCCUUUUUUGGAGGAAAAUUAAGCCUUAAAAUUCCCAGUACCCUAUGACCUAUCUAUUCCACCUCUGGAAGUGAUCUGGAAGGAAUCUUGAAGGUGUCCAAAAUGUAUAGCUACAAAAAUGCUUGUGGCAGCACUGUUGCUAAAACAGAAAGAAAAAAAUGCAUUUAUAAUUUUUUCCUCUAUCUUUUUUUUUGUUUUGAGGAAGCUUAGUCCUGAGCUAAGUGCUGCCAAUCCUCCUCUUUUUUUGCUGAGGAAGACUGGCCCUGAGCUAACAUCCGUGCCCAUCUUCCUCUACUUUAUAUGUGGGAUUACUGCACAGCAUGGCUUGACAAGCGGUGCCACAUCCGUACCCAGGAUCCGAACCGGCGAACCCUGGGCCACCUAAGCAGAAAGCGUGCACAAAACCGCUGCACCACCAGGCUGGCCGCAUCCUCUUUCUUGAUUGUAUACCCAAUUCUCCUGGGCCUGUCUUAUGUUAUAUUUAUUUAAAUUCUGAACACACUGUGCCAGAACGUUAUCUUGUGUUUUGGUACCUUAAUAAAAAAUGCAGUUGAUAAGUAAUAGUCUGAGCUGGGGUGCGUCUGAGGGUUGACUCAGCCCCUCCUGGGUCCUGUCACCCAUGGAAAGGGCCUCCCGCUCUGUCUUCUGCUCUGAGGUGUAGGGACCUCGGAUUGAGUGGGGCCAGGAGACGGGCGGACAUCGUGUGGAGAGAAGCUGUCAGAGGAGCAGGAGCCAGGCCCUUGGGAAGUAGCUCGGAUGUCGGGUUCCAGGUAAUGGAGCCGUGAUGCUGGGGCCAGAUUGUCUGUGGUGAGAAGUUCUUUGUAGGGGGAUAGGGUCAGCAGAUUGCAACAGGGCCUCACUGGCUCUGCCUCCCCCAUCCCCCACCUUGCUGUCACCAUGGCGCUGGGCUGUCCCAGGCCUUCCCAGGGAGACGGUCUCUCGGAAAGGAGAGGUGACCGGGAGAAUACUCUUUUAUGGGAAAUUUGCCACAUCACCUGAGCGUUCCCCUGUGAGUUCCCUGAGUCCUCUCCUCCUGCUGUCCUCCUGGAGCUCCCUAGUGUGGCCCAGGGCGCCCCAGCCAUCCUCUCUCCUGCAGGACAGCCGCAUCCUCAAGGUGGCCGUGAAAGCAAAUUUACCCUGGCCGAGGGUUCCACCUGCCAUUUCCCGUCAUACCCUAACUCGGAACCUUCCCUGAAAUACGGCUGCCCCAGGACCCUCUGGUGACAACUCCCCCUCUGGGUCGAGGGCUUAUCUUUCUCAUCACCCUUUGUGCAUCCCCAUUUCCUCUGAUUCUUCUAAAAUGUCUCUUGGCCGUGCCAUUUCUUUUCCACUCUCGUCCCACUCCUCCUGCCCUUCUCCCCUGGGGCCCACGCUGUCUCAACAGUUGCGUGGCCAGUCAGAACUAUGGUCGUGCUGAGUACAACCCAGUUUCCUUCAAAGUGACAUAGCCACUUCCAUUCUGCCCUGGAGGUGUUCACACUUUAUUUUUAGCCAUAGAUGCAGGAUUUUGGCUGCCCCCAUGCAAAACAUAAGUGCUGAGCAGCCCUGGUUGGAGGGGGUGUGAGGCCUGGAGCCCUGCUCACAUGGCAAUCCCCCCAUCCCCAGCAGAAUCCUGGUGACCCAUCAGAAUCAUUGGGGAAACUUAAACAAAUGGGAAUUCCAGAGCCUGGGGCAGGCCUCCUGACUCAGAAUCUGUGUGUGUGGCGUGGGGGUGGGGGUGGAGUCCGAGCUUUGAAACAAGCUUCCCAGAGGCCCUGAAGCAGCUGGUCGGCAUCUCCUCAGCUGCCAGUUCCUCUCCAACAGGGGCCUCACUCUGGCCAUGGGGGUCCUGCCACCUUCAAGACCUGCCAGGCCUUCCCUUCACCCCCUCAGCUCUUCCCCCUAGGUACCCUCAUCACCUGGUCAAAUUGCACCCCAGCCCACCCCUUCGUGUAGGAAUACGUCGUUAUUGGAAAACAGCUCAGGUGAUGCAGACAGAGUGAAGGCCCUGGACCCUCCCGUCGUCCACUCCCAUACUGCGGCCACGUGGGGCCGGCGGGUGUCCUCCCAGACCCGUGUCCAUGUCUUUCCCACCCAGUGUCCAGAUCUGGAAAGAGAAGAACUGUCUUUCGUCCCGCCUGAGACUGCUCUUCUGCCCGUGCCGUGUUCUGGGCCCUGCAGCCUCCCCCACAGCCACCCGCCUCUCUCCAGCUUCUCUCCCCUCCACAGCCCCCUCCCUGG
ensembl:lncRNA